UUUACCGUUUCUGCUGGUGACCAAGGCUAUUUCAUCAACCAUUCAUAAAAUUUCGUUUAUAAUGCAUAGUGGAUGAUGAAUACUAAUUGAAUAAUAAUUUGUAAAGUAGAAUUUUAUCCAAGUCAAAUAAUUAUUCAAUGCCAUUUUAGAUUCUGCUUAGGCAAGUUUGACUUCAUGUACAAACUAGUAUAACAGACGGUUGAUUUGCUAAUUUCUUUCAAUUUUAGCAAUAAAGAAGAAAUUGUUGAAAGCUGUAGCCCAGCGAUCCUGCUCAGAUCUGAAGCAAUGGAUACCAAGCAUUGUGAAGCAUUUAUAUUGGAGUGCAACAUCGAAUGACACAGGGAAUGGGGACAUGAUGUUGUCCAAGUGGUUGCCGGUCAGUCCUCAUAUACUCAACAUCCACACAGGACAUGGCGAUUUAUUUCCCAGGUGCUUGCAUCCGGAUAUAAGAAGGGCAUGGCUUCCUGAAGGUAGCACAGCAGCAAAUUCCUUGAAGGAAAUCAUUGAGAACCGGAGACAUACAAAUGACAACAAGAUGCUAAGCGAGACAUACUGUAACAAACAUCAAAAUUAGAGGCGUUUCAUUCACUCCUCAAUCAGAUUGCCCCAAAAUUACACAACUAUUGUUUCAAUUUGCAACUAUGCCGCCUAUGUUGACCGGCUUUUUGAUACUGUUCUGGAACAGAUUAAUUCGGUACGAAGCCAGCAGACAUGCCAGUACCACCACUGUUAUGCGGCAGUUUUGACCACCCCAACAAGGCAGACACACUCAAACAACACAAAAACAGGUUUCAUAUACAAUAGUGAACAAUUUAUUAACACCAUGCUCUUAUGCAAUAUGUAGUGUAUUUUUAAACAAUGGGAUAUUUGAACCCAACAUGACUAAGAUUAAAAGUGAUGAUAAGUGCCUAAAAAUGGUUACAAAAACAUGAAGAAAUAAUGACAAAAUGAUUAUUAUUUAGUUUCGUUAAAUAUUUCAAUCACUCUGAGUUUCUUUCCUAUUCUUCCUUCUAAAGUUAUUCUUAUUUUUUCAUAAUUUAACGGACUACUUAUAAGUUAUACAACAUUAUUAGGCUUAGCUUAUUUUCUACACUUUUUUUUAAUUACUUUUUAAGGCCUAUUUUGUAUAUUGUGUCUGUAUUUAACAUAUAUUUGGAUAUUUAAAUCAACAUAAGAUUCCGAUUGGAAAGCUUGUUAAAUUUUUUUAAUGGUGCAGGCUGCCAGUAUGGCAUGGUUGGCUCUACCCAUAUAUCCAUGUGUCCAUCUCAUGAAAUUUUUAUAACUUGCAUGUCUGUAUUUUCUAGAAAAUAUUAAAAAAAAUAAUAAUUUAAGUCUUUUUUUCUCAACAAUAAUAAUAACUAAAAUCUUGCAUAUAAAUGAAAUGUAUGAAAAGUAAAUACUAUGAAUAUGUAAAAAAACUAUGAUAUGUCUUCUAAUCCCAAAAGAUUUUGGGGGUGGAUUAAAACUGCCUACCGCAAUAAGGUCAAAGCUCCUAUGAUCAACAAUAAUGACAAAAAAAGUUAUUUUACCUAUAGAUAAGGCCAAUCUUUUUAAUCAAUAUUUCAGUUCUGUUUUUAAUAACGAACACGUUCACACAUAUCCCGAUUUUCCUGAUUACCCUAUCGACAACUUAACAUAUUUUAACAUUGACAUUAAAGAAAUUGAAAUAUUAUUACGCAAUAUUGAUACUAAGAAAUCCUCUGGCAUUAAUGAAAUUAAUAACAGUGUCCUUAAAGCUGCCUCCUUCCCCUUUCACAACCACUCUAUAAUAUUUUUAACCAGGCACUACAUGAAGGUUCUUUCCCACUAUGUUGGAAAAAGGCUAAUGUAUGUCCUGUUUAUAAGGGGGGUAGAAAAAAUAAAGUUUCAAAUUAUCGUCCCAUUUCACUUUUACCGACCAUAUCAAAAAUAUUUGAACGUCUAAUUCAUAAUUCCAUUUCAAACCACGUUUCACCUGUUCUUUCUAGGGCCCAACACGGUUUUACCCCCACCGUUCCUGUUCUACGAAUAUCACAACUCUUUUAAGUACAGCAUAUAAAGCCAUUGAAUGCCGCUCCCAGUGUGACGUAAUAUAUACCGAUUUUGCUAAAGCGUUCGAUAAGGUCAAUCACGAAUUACUUAUUUACAAACUUACAAUAUUUGGUAUAUCUGGUAAUUUGUUAUAAACUCCUUGUCAGUUAUCUUAGUGAGUGUGAGCAACGGGUAACUUUGGAAGGAGCUUUUUCCACCUGGCUCCCCGUUAAAUCUCUAGUUCCACAAGGAACCAUCUUAGGCCCUCUACUUUUUAACCUAUUCAUAAAUGAUCUCCUGUUAAAUCUAAGCUCACAAUGCUUAAUAUAUGCCGAUGACUUGAAGCUCAUUCGACAAAUCAACACUCUUGAAGAUUCCCAUCAGUUACAGAAAGAUCUUGAUGCUUUCUGUAAGUGGUGUGAAACUUGGGGUAUGGUUAUUAGUAAAAAAAAAAAAUGUAAAAUUUUAAACAUUAGCAUUAAAAAAACUAAUAUUAUAUUCCCAUAGAGUAUAAACAACCAUGCACUCGAUAAUGUUGAAUUUCACAAAGAUCUGGGUGUUGUUCUUGAUAAUAAUUGAAUUUUAAUCGCCAUAUCAAAUACAUUAGUAGUAAUGGUAAUAGAAUGUUGGGCCUCGUUAAACGGAAUUGCUGGAAAUUAAGGAAUCCUAAAACGUUGAUUUGUCUUUAUACGUCUUUGGUUAGGCCUCAAUUAGAAAAUUGUACAAUUAUGUUUAAUGGAUUAUGUAAAAGUCAAGCUCAAAAAUUAGAAAUUGUGCAACAGACAUUUUUGAAAUUUGUUUGUAAAUCGUGUAAUGUCAAUCGUAAUACUAUUAACUUACCCAGCUUAAGUCAACGUAGGAGUUACUUGGACUGUAUAUUUCUUUUUAAAUGCAUGAAGGGAUUAUUUGGUCCUCACCUUCUUUCUUUAUAUGGUUUUUCUGUUAAAAGUAAACAUUCUCAUCAAGCCUCGGUCAACUUAUUCCAUAUUCCAUUUUCCCGAACCAAUAUUUUUAAAAACGGAUUUAUUUGUAGAUUAUCUAAAAUUUUUAACUCACUUAUUCUGUUAGAUCCGACAAUUGAUAUGUUUUUUUAAUAGUUUGAAUAUUUUUAAGUAUAAAAUUAAGAAAUGUCUUGUAUAAGUGUUCAUGAUGUUUUCCGUACGGUGUUUAUUGUGUUUUAUGUAUUCCAUUCUGUAAGUGGCGGACUCCCCGCUGUCGAAUGUGAAUUAAAAUAAAAUAAAAUAAAGUAUAUUUCACACAUCUAGUGGCUCGGAAUUGUGUAUGAAUCCCAGGUUGACUAUCUGAUAUGGUACUGUCUUGUGCUAUAAAAAAAAUAAAAAAGUAACAAUUAUGACAGUCAAACUUUGUCUAUUGGCUUUGAAAUUAAAAUUGUUUGAAUGUAGUUAUUUUUUAAUAUCUGAAUGGAAAUAACGAACAUAUGUAUGGUAUUAAGAGUUUGAAUAAAUUCAUUUUCUUUCCCUUACUGCUUGCAACUUGCAAUGUCCAAACAUUUAGACAAAUGGGCUCUAAUCCUGGAUGGUCCGUAAUACAACCGAGGGCACCUGUCGCCGCCUCAUCUCUUUCAAAUGUUUCAUUAAUUGCAACAAUUUCUUUGCAACGCAGACGUUCUUCAUAAGAUUGCAUAUGUGUACAGUUGCCACAUUUACACCUAUAUAAAACAAAAUGCAAAUGCGAUUACUAUAUUAA